GAGGGUAUAGCUCAGUGGUAGAGUGUGUGCUUAGCAUACCUGAGGUCCUGGGUUCAAUCCCCAGUACCUCCA
rnacentral:tRNA from 1 species